CUCCCCUCAUCCUACUUCUCCCUCCUCCCCUCCCCUUCCCUCCUCCUCUUCCUCACAGGGCUCCUAGGGCCUGUCACCAGAUGGGAAAGAAUGCCGGGGGAGGUCAAGGUCACACCCUGAAGCCCCAGGCCUUCCAGUUCACAGGCCAGGAGCCUGGCUGAGAACCCUCCUGCCUCCUGCCUCCCCCACCCCCAACCCCCUGCGCACCAAACAGCCCCGGAGCCAGGAGGAGCCCAAUAACAGGGCAGCCGACCAGGGGCAGCUCAGCGGACCACAGGGUGGGCAUCUGCCGGCCCAGCGUGGACCCAGCCUCGGGGCCCGGCCGGACAGCGACGCAUUGACACGGCCACCUCGGAGAAGGGGCAGAGGUGUGGGGGAGGUCAGGGUCCCAGGCCUCAGUCUGCAGGAAAAGCCCCACCCCCUCCACCCCUGGUGUCCCCCCCACACCAAAGGGGUUUAUGAAGACCUGUGCAGUGCACCAGAAAAAUACCGCUAUCAUUAAGGGAUUUAACGACAGCUUUGCCCAAUAUUGGGGAUUUGUUAUGUCUCUUAUUACACGUUUUAACAAGCAUAUUUCUCCGAGACGCAGCCCCGCGUGAGGGCCGUCCUCUCCCUCUGCCUUGUGUGACUUUCAUUAGAAGGCGUUUUAUAAAGCCACGGAUCACAGAUGCACGCCCAGCCCGCAGCCUUGGCUGGCCGGGGCCUGGUGUCGUGGGCUGGGUGGCCGGGGUGUGCCCGCGGGUCUGUCUGCCUGUUUCUGUGGGUGCAGAGAGGAACCCUUGUACUCAGACCGCACCCCUCCUGACACUUCCGGCCGGGAGCACGACUCAGGCACGGACCCCAGACUGGAGUCGGGCUUCCUGCCCCUUCUGCGACGUGAUCCCAGAUGAGCCUCGGGCCUCCUGAGCCUCAGUGUCCCCAUGUGUGACUUGGGCAUCUGAGCAGACAAAUGACUUCCAGCAUAUCUCAGCAGUAGGACUCUGUUUGCACACAAACCAUCAAAUAGCGGAAAAGCAAAUUUAAAAAGGCGGAAAUGAAGCUGAUUCUGCAGAAGCAAAUCUCGGCCACCCUGCGCCUUACCCCCAGGAGGCCGCUGGAUUGCCACCAAAUGCCUGGGGUCUUUGGAGCACAGCUUAGGAUGCUGGCUGGUGGCUGAGGACUGUGAUGUCCCCAGCUCCAGGGCCUGAGGCCCUAGCAUUGCGCUGACCGUGCCCACGGAACGACAGCCCUGCCCUGAGCCACAGCCCUGCAGGCCCAGCCAGCUCGUCCCCCACCCCGGGGCCCCCGGGGCAGGCCACGCACAGGGGCGGCAGCAGGAAGAGUAGGUAAUUCCAGAGCCAAGCCCUGACUUCCGACAUGCACACCCCUCCCGACGCUGAAAUGUGUCUUCUGAGCUCUCUGCUCCGAGCUGCCCUUCCCGGCCCUUGGAGCACGUGCUCAGGCCAUCGCCGCGGCCUCAGAAGCUGGUGUAUAAAAGGGGAAAGCACGGGCUCCCUGAGGGCAGCUGGAGGCGAGCCGACCUGUAGCUGAGACCAAUUCCUGCCAAGAAACUUCCAGACAAGCAAGAUGUGCGCUGGGAAGGAUCCAGGUGAACAGGCCGAUGGUGGACGGGGAGACCCCUGCCCUCUGGUUCCCUGGCCAGAGCCCCCCGGCACACUGACAAUGGGUCGCCCAGGCCCAGGAUGACUGCAGCCUCCCUCCGGGCUCCCAGAGACCCUCCACACGGCCAGGCUCCUCCUCCAGCAUCCACACACUGAUGCCUUCUCCGGACUUCUGGAGCCCCAUCUACACCACAAUGGCAAAGGGCCAGAGCGGGGUCCGCUGGUCUCUGACUCCCCUGCCCCUAGCAGAGGGCUGGCUCUGAAGAGACAGAUGCCCUCAGGACAGGAACGUGUGGAAGCCGGGACAGAGCAGCGGACGCGGCCCCAGCUGUGACAAGCUCCCCCCCUCCCCGUCCCCCCCAGAAACGAGCGAAGGCAUAAAUAAAUAAUAAGCCCUGCCGAUCGCGUACCGCUUCCCAGAUAGGGCUGGGCACGGCCCGGCGAUUACGCCCACAAUACCUCGCAUUCAUUACGCCCCUUAAAAACGGUGUGCUGUGUCUGGAAAACAGGAAGUGGCCGUCAGUCUCCCGUGUAAAAGCCAUCUGAAGCCCGUGGACCAGGCAUGUUCUCAAUCAGGAAGCAGGCAGUAAAUAAACAUUUACGUCCCGCGGCCGCGCGCACCCGCCUGCCCCCAGGCUACAAAGGGGCACGGAGAGCGGAAAUUUGUUUAGUCCUAUAAAAGCACAGGCCAUAUAUCAAUAGAUGGUUAAAAAUGGAAACGUGGCCGGCUAAUGGACGGUAUUGAUUUUAAUAAGCGUUAAGUACAUGGAGCUCGCAGAUAAGGGCCGCUGGGCCAUCCCUCCGCGCUCUGGGAAAGUGACUCAUGCGGCGAAAAAAAAAAAAAAAUCCUCUUUUCCAAAUUGAAACUUUCACCCGGCGUAUUGGGGUCUGGGGGAGUGGUUUCCAAAUCGGCAUCUAUCCCGGAAUAUCGAGCGUGACGCGGGUGAUAUAUGGAAGCGUUUCUGCCGCGAGGUCAUGCACGUCGCGCUCAAAACAGUAGCGGCACGGGCUCGCGGGCGCCUUGGUGGCAGGGCCACGGCCGGGCCCCCGCGGGGCGUCCGAGCGCACCAGCGCCCGCUCCAGGCUGCCGAGACGCCCCCGGGAACCCCGCGUCACCCCGUUUGUUCUGCUUCCUCCCACCCAGUCACGCUGGGCUCCCCACCUGCCGGGUGUCCACAGUACCCGGGCCCUGAGAGACGGGGCCGCGGGGCCAGACGUCCACCCAGAGCAUCAGGUGGCUGCCUGGGACCAAAGCUCCUACCUCGGAGGAAGUCGCAGCUCCGUGACAAUGACCAGACGGCCGUUCUCCAGACGGGAGCUGGUAGCGGCCGGCUGGGGUCAGGCGUGAGGGUCACACUGGUCCCUGGGCCGGGAAAGGCCCGACCAAGUGGCAGAAUGUCCUCACAGACAUCCACUUGGAAUCUUCUGCUUGUCAUGGUAGAUUAGGUUGCUCCUGUUCCUGCAACACAGGAGCUCCACAAAGGCAUGGUCUUACCUGUUUGUUGGCCACCAUAUACCUGAGUCAACAUGGCAGUUGGUCUAGCACAGGUCACUGAACAUGGAAGGUGUUCAGGGAAUGGGUGAGUGAUAGAGAACAUGAAAGAAGGAAGAAACACAAGUAAGUAAAAAGGGUUUGAGCCAUCAGGUCAUGGUUACAGAAGUAAGCAUGAGGCACCAUGCCCCCACCCCUGCUUCCUCACAUUGGUGCGGGCACACCUUCACAGAGCUGGGCACAUCGCAGGCCUCAGACACUGGCUGCCUGAGCAAGUUCAUGAAAGAUGCCCUGUUUUCGCUUUGCUCCAAGGCCACGGUACAGGUGCAGUCCCUGCCCUAUAAGGUACACUUUUUGGGUUUUGCCCUAAGACCUCCUCUUCUCCACAAGUCAGUGCAGUUUUCCUGUCAGAGAGCCAAAAUGGGAGCGGUCGAGGCUUUGUGGGCCUGACCACCUUACUUCUGCUGCUGUAAUGUGAAAACAGCCAUGGAGAACACAUGAGUGGGUGUGGCUCUGUUUGUAUAAAACUUCAUUUAUGGACACCAAAACACGGAUUUCAGGUAACGUACUCACGUCAUGAAGUAUGACUCUGUUUGCUUUCCAUUUCCAGCUGUUUAGAAAUAUAAAAACCACUCUUAGCUCGCAGUCCCUUCUGACUCAGAUGGCAGGCCAGACUCGGUCUGUAGAAUGUAAUCUGCCAACCCCUUGCCGGGGGUAGGGUCCCUCCCUCGCCCCUAAUAUGCACAUUUGGUGCAUAAAUGUGUACUAUUCCAUAAGUGACUUUCAGCAUUUGGUAGAUCGUGGCCACGUUUCCCCUUCGCCUUUCCUGACCGACGUGCCGAUCACGUGUCUGUGGGGUUCAGUCAGCAAACGCCGCGGUGAUGCCAUGGAACGGACCUCCCCGGGUCAGGCUGUCCCAAAACAGACCCGACCUUCACCCCCACGGUCAGG